rnacentral:rRNA from 1 species
AGAGUUUGAUCCUGGCUCAGAUGAACGCUGGCGGUAGGCCUAACACAUGCAAGUCGAACGGUAACGGACCGCUGGGAUUCCUUCGGGAUGACCUUGGUGCCGACGAGUGGCGGACGGGUGAGUAACACGUAGGAAUCUGCCCAACAGUGGCGGACAACCCGGAGAAAUCCGGGCUAAUACCGCAUACGCCCUACGGGGGAAAGCAGGGGAUCUUCGGACCUUGCGCUGUUGGAGGAGCCUGCGUCGGAUUAGCUUGUUGGUGAGGUAAAGGCUCACCAAGGCGACGAUCCGUAGCUGGUCUGAGAGGAUGAUCAGCCACACUGGGACUGAGACACGGCCCAGACUCCUACGGGAGGCAGCAGUGGGGAAUAUUGCACAAUGGGCGAAAGCCUGAUGCAGCCAUACCGCGUGUGUGAAGAAGGCCCUCGGGUUGUAAAGCACUUUCGUCAGGGAAGAAAGGUGCGGGGUUAAUAUCCCCGUACUGUGACGGUACCUGAAUAAGAAGCACCGGCUAACUCCGUGCCAGCAGCCGCGGUAAUACGGGAGGGUGCGAGCGUUAAUCGGAAUUACUGGGCGUAAAGCGCGCGUAGGCGGUCUGGUCAGUCAGAUGUGAAAGCCCCGGGCUCAA